GUGGGGAAUCUUGCACAAUGGGCGAAAGCCUGAUGCAGCCAUGCCGCGUGAAUGAUGAAGGCCUUAGGGUUGUAAAAUUCUUUCGUCAGGGAUGAUAAUGACCGUACCUGAAGAAGAAGCCCCGGCUAACUUCGUGCCAGCAGCCGCGGUAAUACGAAGGGGGCUAGCGUUGUUCGGAAUUACUGGGCGUAAAGCGCACGUAGGCGGACUUUUAAGUCAGGUGUGAAAUCCCGGGGCUCAACCUCGGAACUGCAUUUGAAACUGGAAGUCUUGAGAUCAGGAGAGGUUAGCGGAAUACCGAGUGUAGAGGUGAAAUUCGUAGAUAUUCGGUGGAACACCAGUGGCGAAGGCGGCUAACUGGACUGAUACUGACGCUGAGGUGCGAAAGUGUGGGGAGCAAACAGGAUUAGAUACCCUAGUAGUCC
rnacentral:rRNA from 1 species